GAACGUGCAAUCAGAAAUUGUGCACUGCAGAUGGGCAAUGUUAGGAGCUGCAGGAAUUUUCAUUCCGGAAUUGUUAACAAAACUUGGAAUCCUCAACACUCCAUCCUGGUACACAGCUGGGGAGCUAGAGUACUUCACAGACACCACCACCCUGUUCAUUGUUGAGAUGAUAUUCAUAGGCUGGGCAGAGGGCAGACGGUGGGCCGACAUUAUAAAGCCAGGCUGUGUGAACACUGACCCGAUCUUCCCCAACAACAAGCUCACCGGCACCGAUGUUGGGUACCCAGGUGGGCUUUGGUUUGACCCACUUGGCUGGGGAUCCGGUUCGCCCGAGAAGGUAAAGGAGCUGAGGACUAAGGAGAUCAAGAAUGGAAGAUUGGCUAUGUUGGCUGUGAUGGGUGCUUGGUUCCAGCACAUUUACACCGGCACCGGCCCCAUUGACAAUCUCAUUGCUCACCUUGCUGAUCCUGGUCAUGCCACCGUUUUUGCUGUAAGUUAAUUACAGCACCUAGCACUCUACUCAUUGUAUGUAUCCAAUUAAGUGUUAAUUAUAUUUAUUUACUAAUUGGCGAUGAUGCUUUGUGGUUAAUUUGAUUCAGGCCUUCACCCCCAAGUGAGAUGAUGACGAACAAAGGGAGAGAAAUUUGGGCCAAGUGGAAGCUUGAGAUCAAAGGAAUUGGUGUUUCUCUUAGGGAAAGGUUGUAUGAUUAGAACUUGUAUUAAUUGCCUCUAUCUAUGUACAAAGACUUG
rnacentral:lncRNA from 1 species